AAAGGCACUACAUGGCAUAACACUACUGCAGUCUUUGCACAACACCAUAUGGUAAAAAGUGACGCACUAUAACAAGUUCCAAGCAGCAAAACUCACGGCAAGCAAGCAGCAAAACUCACGACAAGCAAGUAGCAAAACCCACAGCAAAGCACAACAGCAAGCACACAACAAGGAUGUGAAUUGUUAAAAAAAUACACAUCCAAUUGUCCUAUAAAUAUGGGUCAAUUGCUUCCUAAUGCUAUAAGGGAAAUACAUACUCAAAUAGCAAAAGGAAAAUCAAAACAAGGAAGCACAUUCCAACCAAAAGAAGUAAGCAAAUUCCAAGCAAAAAAUGGCAAGUUUAAGCCAAUCUGCACAAGCAGGACAUUUUUGGUGAUAAUUCGACUUUCCAGAGGAAUUUUGAUGCAAGGCCAAUUGGAGAAGGAAGCUAAGAGGCUGAUGAUUGUUGUAUCAUAAUUUCAUAAUUUUCCGUAAAGCCAAACAUUCCAGUUUUCAAAGUUAAUCUCGUAGAAGUUGUUUUCCUUUUAGAACUGUGCAGCUGUAGGAAAAUGACAAGUUGAAGGCUUUCCAGAUUUUUCCUAGUGGUGUGCGAUAUAUUCAUGAAAAGAUAAGAGAUAAAGCUACGUUUUUCAUAUUUUUUACAGAAUUUUCCAGAAGAGAAAUCGACCUCAAACUUGGCAUGCAAGUCAUAUGACAUGUUUCCCAAACCAACAAGGGAAAUACAUGCUGUUUUUGCAACAAAAAUCAGCGAAGAGAAGAAAAGGAAACAAGAAAAAAGAAGAAGAAAGGGCUUCAAAAUUUCCAAAACAACAAAGGAAAGAAUCCCUCCUUGUCGUGGAAACAAAAGGGGAAAGGAAAAAGUCCCUCCUUGCUGUGGAAAACAAAAGGGGAAAUGAAAAACACCCUCCUUGCCAUGGAAGGAAAGAAAAGGAAAGGAAAAAAAUGUACAUCCUACUUACCUAAGGACAAGCAUUAAAUCUUUCCAAAACCUUGAAGGAAAUCACCCAAGCUUUCCAAUACUUUGAAGGAAAUCACCCUCAUUACCAAAUAUAUUUUGUAAAAAAAUUAUGGAAAAUCAAUAUGCACAAUAAGUAUGUGCCGAUUUAUUCCUUUCCAAAAUUUCUUUCAAGAUCAAGCCUCUAUGGCCCUUGAAGAAAAAUUUCAUUUCUUUCAAGAUUAAGCCUCUACGGCCCUUGAAGAAAAAAAAUCUCAUUUCUUUCAAGAUCAAGCCUCUACGGCCCUUGAAGAAAAUAAAAUUUCAUUUCUUUCAAGAUCAAUCAUCUACGGCCCUUAAAGAAAAAUUUCGUUUAAUUCAAGACCAAGCCUCAACGGCCCUUAAAGAAAUAUUUCGUUCAAGAAAUACGCCUCAACGGUGUUGGAAGUAUGCCCACAAAGCCACUCAUUUGAUGUAAUAGCUUUUGGAAUACUUAUUGUGUUAAACUAUUAUAUGUUUAAUGAAGGGCAAAUCUAGUUAAUCACUAUUUAUUGUAUUAUGUGUUUAAGCAAUAAGGGAAUCCAAUGAAUGUAUUUAAUCUAAGAAAGAAGUGAUCUAAGUAAGUUAGAUUAACGAGACCUUUCUCUUAUGUUCAUUCCUAAAACAUUCCUAGCCAUAGAAUUGCCAAUUGGGCAUUGACAAUCCGCUAAGGUUAGUAUGUGUUAUGUUAACUCAAGCGUGAGUAUGACUACUCUCAAGUCCUUUAGUGUUGGACACUAAGACAAACACAUAGGUGCUCAAAAGGUAAUCGAGUACACUGAACUACGAUCAAAAGAGAGUUCAAACAUACAUGUCAUGUAAGAACUUGUAAGUUGCAAUAUGCAAAGUAGUCAUUUGACAUGAGAGAUCAUAUAUGUCUAAUGGUUAGGCCCUUGAUCUUUGCUCAUGUCAAAGGCAUUCCAUCGAGAGUGUCCACGACAUUGUUAGGGUCAAGCUAUCUAGUCAUGUAGGCAUAUGAGUGCACAACAAGAGAUCUCUAACCUUCCAUGGUGGAGGGAGAGUACUCUGAGAUAUGAUUCGGGAGUCUUUGGCCAAAGCAUACGAAUAUGACUUAGGAAGUUUGUUCCAAAUCAUAUUCAAUUGAAUCAUAUAGAGAAGUAUCACAUUAGAUAGUAGACAUGAAUCAAACUAUCACUCAAACAAUGUGAUUAAAAGUAUUAUUUUAGAGAAUAAUUGUAUUGCAUUGUAAUUGUAACUGGAUAGGUUCUCCAACCACUUCUACUUAGCUUGGGUAGCCAUGACAUACUGUUAGGUGUCACUUAUGGUUUGUGGAAGCCCUAAAGAUUAGCAACACUAAUCUUCAUCAAAGGGAGAAUUGAAAUGAAGUUUCAAUUCACAAUCGAUUGUUAAGAGUAACAAUCGCCCACUGCCUUGGUAAUUGGAACCUAAUGGAUCGUACACCGAGUAAGGAUGAAAGUGAAGAAAUAUAAAUGAGAUGGAUAAGCAAUUAAAUGGUUUAAUUGAGAAUGGUCAAUAUUAAUUAAUUAGUUAAUUAAUUAUAUGAAGGGUUCGUAUUAGGCUUUCAAGUGAGUUUUGGCCAAAGCCCAUUAUGUUUAAGUUGUAUGACAACUAAAAUAAAAUUCAUCUUCACACCUCAUCCUUGGUGUGGAGACUUAGAGACACCAAACUUUUGGUGUUCUUGGAGUUCCUCUCCUCAAAUCCUCAAGGAGCAAAGGAGAAGCAAAGAAGCAACCAUCCAAAGGAGUAAAGGAGGUGACUUGAAGCUCUUCCACUUGGGUGAAUCCCUUGUGUAAACAAGGAUGAGCUUCAAGAGUAAUGAAAGUCAAACUCUCUUUUCUCUUUAAUUUGUUAAAGAGUUUUUGGUUUACCAUUCACUAGGCUUUGAAAGUCAUGGGUUUUUAGAAUUGUUUUUUAAUGCAUGCCUACUUUAAAAUGUUAUUAGUUUGCUCAUAUGUUCAAAUGUUCUCACAUGUUCUUAGAUAGGACAAAUUUUUUCCUUCAAACGGCCUUUGACGAAAUUCAUCACUUCAAUUCAAGACCAAGCCUCAACGGCCCUUGAAGAAAUGUUUCGUUCAAGAAAUACGCCUCAACGGCCCUUGACGAAAUUCAUCAUGUCAAUUCAAGAAAUAAGCCUUUACAGUCCUUGAAUAAGCAAACUAAUUCAAGAUCAAGUCUCAAUGACCCUUAAGUUAGAACAUUCACAUUACAAGACUUCAAAACACGUUUCCUACAUGUGACAAGCACAUGCCUACAAUGUGCCUUGAAGUGGGGGCAUUUGUAGACAUGUAAAUUUCAUUGCAUGCAAAUGAUGCAUCACAAAACUCCAUGUGGCAUAUGACUCAUCACAAAUGGACAAGUCAUCAAUGACAUAUGACACAAAUCAAGCAAAGGAAGCUCAAAAUCAUUCCCCAAAAGUGGGCAAAAGGGAGAAAAUCCCCCUUAAAAUCGGCAAGGGGUCCAAAUUACUCCCAAAACUAAAAAGAAAGCUAAAGCAUCUUCACAAAACAAGCAAGAAUGAAAGAUUGCUCACAAAAUAGGUAACAAGCCUAUAAUUUGGCAGGGUAAGGGAAAAUGGCUGAAAUUAAGACACAAAACAUGCCUAAAUUCUCUCAUGGACGAAUCAAGACACAAAUCAAAGUCAAAUCCACCCAAAGGCAUGGCUUUGGAAGUCUAUAAAUACAAGGUCCCAAGACAAGUAUAAGGUUGACAAUUUCUACAUUGAAGGGCCGAAAAUUCUACAUUCAAAAGAACCUCUAUACAAAUCUUUGAAGACUGAUACGUUGCAUUAGUUGAUUAGUUAAUUAGUUGUAAUUUAGUUCGGUGAUUAGUUUUUGGAUGAUACUGGAAUAUUUGAUUGCUGUUGAAAUUAAAUUUACACAUACAUGGAUACUCUCUUUCACGUGGUAUCCGCCAAAACAUGUCUGCAACUUAAAUUUACACCGACAUGUGGAUAGUGAGCUUUUUAAAAGUAGUUUUUUUAUUUGGACCAAAAGAUAAAAAAAUAGUAUGAGUCACAUGAAAUGGAAGAUUGCAGAAUCAUUUACGCAUAUGAUUUUGAGUAGGCAAUGAACAUCUCAGAGCCUUAUCUCUGGCUCAUAAUUACAAUUAUGUUAUGUAAGUCUUGAUGAUGUUGUGGUCUCCAUUAAACUUAGGCUAUGAUUUUUAUUUUUAUUUUUAUUUAUUUCUGCUUUAUUGUGUGACUUGUUGUGGUCUCUAUCCCAGAGCUAUAUAUAUCAUAUAGCUUCUGUUGUUGUUGUGGUCUCCAUUGAACUUUGUGUCUUGUUUUCUCUAUCAUUCGGUCAUGCUUUAAUAUUA
rnacentral:lncRNA from 1 species